UCCUUGUAGGAUAUGAACCCUCUGAACCUCCUAGGACUCCACAGUUUCUAUCUCAUAAGUCCUGAAGAAGUCGUGAGCUUGAUUUACAAGGGAACCACUGGAGAUUUUGAGAUGGUCUAUUUAUUGAGAGCAACUUGGAUCCUAAAUUUGUCACCAGCUCUGGAUUUCUCUCCCAAGCCAGGAUUGUGUGAAGUCAUUACAAUUUAAAGCAUACUGUCGGUCGGUCAUUCCCUGGACUCCAACUUCUGUUUCACCCCCAACAUACAGAGUAGAGAAGAAAUGAACGACUACAGGGAGAUUGCUUUCUCCUACUUAUCAAGACAGAGUGGUGUAGAUUCACUUCUUUUGGGGGCAUGUGUUCCAAGAAGAAGCAGAUUUCCAUUACAGACUUGAAACUGAGGUGUGUGAGGAGCACACAGAUAUCUUCCUUUGAACUUUGAAGGAGAUCAUUUGCUGUUAACAUAAAAAUAAGACUAUUCACAAAUCAUUAGCUCUGAAGAAAGAUGACAUCAACAUUGUGAGGUACUCCGCCUGUUGGACAAAUACAAAAAGAAUCAAUUGUGGCAUACCUCUUGACUAAAGAGCAUCAGUGAAUAACUGCCUGCAGGGC
rnacentral:lncRNA from 1 species